UGGGUAACCUGCCUCAAAGAGGGGAAUAGCCUUCCGAAAAGGAAAGAUUAAUACCGCAUAAUAUGUUUUGAUCGCAUGAUCAGAAUAUCAAAGGAGUAAUCCGCUUUGAGAUGGACCCCGCGGCGCAUUAGCUAGUUGGUGAGGUAACGGCUCACCAAGGCGACGAUGCGUAGCCGACCUGAGAGGGUNAUCGGCCANAUUGGAACUGAGACACGGUCCAGACCU
rnacentral:rRNA from 1 species